rnacentral:rRNA from 1 species
GAAUGAACGCUGGCGGCGUGCCUAACACAUGCAAGUCGAGCGAGAAAGUCCCUUUCGGGGGGCGAGUAAAGCGGCGCACGGGUGAGUAACGCGUGGGUAACCUACCCAGGAGUGGGGGAUAACCAGCCGAAAGGCUGACUAAUCCCGCAUACGACCAGCAGGCAUAAGUCUGUUGGGGAAAGAUGGCCUCUGCUUGCAAGCUAUCGCUCCUGGAUGGGCCCGCGUUGGAUUAGCUAGUUGGUGGGGUAAUGGCUCACCAAGGCUGCGAUCCAUAGCUGGUUUGAGAGGACGACCAGCCACACUGGAGCUGAGACACGGUCCAGACUCCUACGGGAGGCAGCAGUGAGGAAUAUUGCGCAAUGGGGGAAACCCUGACGCAGCGACGCCGUGUGAGCGAUGAAGGCCUUCGGGUUGUAAAGCUCUGUCAGAGGGGAAGAAAGGGGAUAUGGUUAAUACCCAUGUCCAUUGACGGUACCCUCUGAGGAAGCACCGGCUAACUCCGUGCCAGCAGCCGCGGUAAUACGGAGGAUGCAAGCGUUAUCCGGAUUCACUGGGUUUAAAGGGUGCGCAGGCGGACAUUUAAGUCAGGGGUGAAAUCCUACAGCUUAACUGUAGAACUGCCCUUGAUACUGAAUGCCUAGAGUAAAGCUGAAGUGGGCGGAAUGUGUUGUGUAGCGGUGAAAUGCUUAGAUAUAACACAGAACACCAAUCGCGAAGGCAGCUCACUAAACUUUAACUGACGCUCAUGCACGAAAGCGUGGGGAGCAAACAGGAUUAGAUACCCUGGUAGUCCACGCCCUAAACGAUGAUCACUCGCUGUUGGCGAUAUAUUGUCAGUGGCUAAGCAAAAGUGAUAAGUGAUCCACCUGGGGAGUACGACCGCAAGGUUGAAACUCAAAGGAAUUGACGGGGGCCCGCACAAGCGGAGGAGCAUGUGGUUUAAUUCGAUGAUACGCGAGGAACCUUACCAGGGCUCGAACGCAGGAGGAAUACUCCCGAAAGGAAGUAGCCAGAAAUGGCCGCCUGCGAGGUGCUGCAUGGUUGUCGUCAGCUCGUGCCGUGAGGUGUCAGGUUAAGUCCUAUAACGAGCGCAACCCCUAUUCAUAGUUGCCAGCAUAUUACGGUGGGGACUCUAUGAAAACUGCCUGCGCAAGCAGUGAGGAAGGUGGGGAUGACGUCAAAUCAGCACGGCCCUUAUGUCCUGGGCUACACACGUGCUACAAUGGCCGGUACAGAAGGCCGCAACCACGCAAGUGGAAGCUAAUCCCUAAAACCGGUCUCAGUUCGGAUUGGAGUCUGCAACCCGACUCCAUGAAGCCGGAUUCGCUAGUAAUCGCACAUCAGCCAUGGCGCGGUGAAUACGUUCCCGGGCCU